rnacentral:rRNA from 1 species
AGAGUUUGAUCCUCGGCGUCAGAACGAACGCUGGCGGCAGGCUUAACACAUGCAAGUUGAGCGGGAUUUUCGAGUAGCUUGCUAUUUGAAAUGAGAGCAGCGCACUGGUGAGUAACACGUGGGAACAUACCUUUUGGUGGGGGACGAACAGUUGGAAACGACUGCUAAUACCGCAUACGCCCUGAGGGGAAGGAGAGAUUUGCCGAAAGAUUGGCCCGCGGAAGAUUAGGUAGUAGGUGGGGUAAUGGCCUACCUAGCCGACGAUCUAUAGCUGGUCUGAGAGGACGAUCAGCCACAUUGGAACUGAGACACGGUCCAGACUCCUACGGGAGGCAGCAGUGAGGAAUAUUGGGCAAUGGAGGGAACUCUGACCCAGCCAUGCCGCGUGAGUGAAGAAGGUUUUCGGAUUGUAAAGCUCUUUCAGAUGGGAAGAUGAUGACGGUACCAUCAGAAGAAGCACCGGCUAACUUCGUGCC